UGAACGCUAGCGGCAGGCUUAACACAUGCAAGUCGAGGGGCAGCAUAACAUUGCUUGCAAUGUUUGAUGGCGACCGGCGCACGGGUGCGUAACGCGUAUGUAACCUACCUCAAACAGGGGCAUAACACUGAGAAAUUGGUACUAAUUCCCCAUAACACUUUUGAAGGCAUCUUCUGAAGUUGAAACGUAAGGAUUAUGGGUGAGCACGCUUCUGAUUAGGUAGUUGGUGAGGUAACGGCUCACCAAGCCGACGAUCAGUAGGGGUUCUGAGAGGAAGGUCCCCCACAUUGGAACUGAGACACGGUCCAAACUCCUACGGGAGGCAGCAGUGAGGAAUAUUGGUCAAUGGACGGAAGUCUGAACCAGCCAAGUCGCGUGAAGGAUGAAGGUUCUAUGGAUUGUAAACUUCUUUUGUCUGAGGGUAAAACAGUGGACGUGUCCACUCUUGCAAGUAUCAGACGAAUAAGCAUCGGCUAACUCCGUG
rnacentral:rRNA from 1 species